rnacentral:rRNA from 1 species
CCCGAUAAUCCACGUAUACUCAACCCCCCUUUGACAACAGCAUGUGUACUGCCGUUGUAAGCACACCUCUAAAAGAUUAAGUGUGCCACUAUGACUAAUAACUCAUAUACAUCAGGUCGAAGUGCAGCAAACAUGGGGGUGAUGAUGGGUUACAACCCUAAAAUAGAAUAUCAACUAAGAAAUAAAAAAUCUUACGAAAGUGGACUUGGCCGUAAUUAACUUACAAGUUAGAAAAAUGAAUAAACUCUAAGACAUGCACACAUCGCCCGUCACUCUACCCUAAAGGCUAGAUAAGUCGUAACAAAGUAGGUGUAAUGGAAAUUGCACCUGUACAGGCAUAGCAUAUAUAAUGCUUUUUACUUACACUAAAAACAAAGUUAAUAAACUUGCCUGUAAAACGAUACAAACUCUUUUAACGCCCAAAUAAUAAAAACAACUAAACAAUAACUUAACACUACAGUACAGAAAUGGAAACAAUAAUUAACAAAAGUAAAUUUUAAAAACUGUACCUUGUGCAUUAUGGUUUUACAAGAAAAUAAUUAAACAUACAAAUCCCGAAUUCUAAGUGAGAUGUUAAACUGCUGUUUAGAACCCAUUAGUAACUGUGGAAAAAGAUUUAAAAGACAGUUUAACAGAGGCUACAUACCAUUCGCAUAAGAAUAUAGCUGGUUUUCAACAAAAAUUAUAUAUUAAAGCAUAUAAUAUACUUAUAGUGUAAUGUUAUUGAGGAUAAGCCCAAUAACAGAAGCAAUAAAUAAAUAAAUCUAAUAUAUUCUAUAGGCCUAUAACCAGCCAACUAAAAUACUUUACCGUACUAAGUAAUGAUAUAAUAAAUGCUACUACUAUGCCAAAUAAAGUUGAAAUGACAGAUAAAUCCACCUCUGCCUUUAACAUGUAAAAAUAAGUAUUAAGAAAUUUAAAAACACUAAUCAAGAAUGUAACAAAAUGUUUACAGAACAAUAAUUAAUUAAGGAACUCGGCAAACCCCUAUUUCGACUGUUUAACAAAAACAUUGUCUAGUGAACAAAAUACUAGAUAAUACCUGCC